CAGAACACCACCUGACCAUCACCCCUCGUUCUGGAUCGUUCGGCCACUCCCGAACGACACUUCGCUCAUUUCUCUCUGCCACGUAUGUCUCGAGAACCCUGCUUCUUCCGGUCACUCCACGUCUCGAGGCCCCAGUGAACACCUAACCGAGUCUACCUCGAGCCUCGCCAACACACAGACGGUAGAGAACUCCCUGGACUCCCCAAGCACUGGCCUCUUCUCUGCUGCCCUGGCUUUGCUUCCCGGCGCCGUCAACGAAUCUGUCUUCAGUGUUGGUGAGAAGACAUCGCAUUCCCUAGGAGUGGUGUUCUACAAGACUACCGUGGCUAGUCUCUUGGAAGGGAGAGUUAUGUAAAGGGCAGACCACCACCUGACCAUCACCCCUCGUUCUGGAUCGUUCGGCCACUCCCGAGCGACACUUCGCUCAUUUCUCUCUGCCACGUAUGUCUUGAGAACCCUGCUUCUUCGGUCACUCCACGUCUCGCGGCCCCAGUGAACACCUAACAGUUUACCUCGAGCCUCACCAACACCCAGACGGCAGAGAAAACUCUGGACUCUCCAAGGACUGGCCUCUCCUCUGCUGCCCUGGCUUCACCCUCUACCUGUUUCUGCUGCCUGGCGCCGUCAACGAGUCUGCCUCCAGUGUUGGUGAGAUUAGUGUUCCUCUGGCCCUCCCUCGCUCUGGAGGGAGACUCAUGGUGGGAGCCGGGUGGUGCGCAAGGUGUCCCUGUUGUUGUUGUUAUAUUGUGCAUAUCUGUGUUUGUGCAAGUCUAGUAAACUUGGAACCAUU